GACGAACGCUGGCGGCGUGCCUAAUACAUGCAAGUAGGACGCAGUUGCGAACGGGUGAGUAACGCGUAGGUAACUGCCUUUUAGAGGGGGAUAACUAUUGGCAACGAUAGCUAAUACCGCAUACUAGUAUAUGGACCUGCGUUGUAUUUGCUUGUAGGUAGGGUAAUGGCCUACCUAGGCCACGAUACAUAGCCGACCUGAGAGGGUGAACGGCCAAACUGGGACUGAGACACGGCCCAGACGCCUACGGGAGGCAGCAGUAGGGAAUCUUCGGAAAUGGGGGGAACCCUGACCGAGCAACGCCGCGUGAGUGAAGAAGGUUUUCGGAUCGUAAAGCUCUGUUGUUAAGGAAGCGGUACUUAACCAGAAAGGGACGGCUAACUACGUGCCAGCAGCCGCGGUAAUUC
rnacentral:rRNA from 1 species